UAAUACACAUGGUUAUGAUAAUAAUACCAAGCUCAGAGAGUUGAUAGGAGAAUCCAAGGAGAUUAUAUGUAAGAAAACAUACACCUGUGGGUCAAAAAUGUUAGCCAUUUAUUUAUUCUUUAUAUUUUCACCUCUUUCUCCAUUCACCUUUCUUUUCUGUAUACCUUGUCACUCUACCCCCUGAUCUUAUACCUCAUUCUUUUCAACCUUUUCUUUUCUCUACUAUCUAUUCCCUUUCCUUCCUCCUCCAUCUCUUUCUUGACUCUUCCUCUUCUCCUGUUGCAGGUAUACGUCAGAAUAGACUUUUACCCAAGCAGGGCUAAGAACACAAAUGCCCUCAAACUACCUACCAGUGGCCAAAGCAAGAACACGUUCUGCCCAGGUGUCAACAGGAUGGAAAUAAAACCAGAGACCAUGCUGAGAUUCUUCCGUGGAGAUCCAAAAAGGAGCAUUCUGCUUCCCAGCACUUCUUGCCAAGGAUGAUCUCAGAUUCAUCUGCUCCCAUUCACAGUGAGCAAAGGCCUUGAUUUUAAUAAGGGCACAGCUCCUUUUCCCCUUCUCCUGUUGCUGAAAUUGGGCUGGAUGAGGAUGGUUGAGGGUCAG
ensembl:lncRNA